AAAAAUGGUUAGUUAUUGUGUUUGUGAAGAAUCUAAGAAAAAUAAUUCUCAAGAAAAAUCGAUAUCUUUCACGCGUGAAUGAGAUUAUAUAAACAGCGCAUGAUUACACACAGUGAUGAAAUUAUAGGUUAGGAGAUGUCAAUGAAAUAACGAAGAACGAAUCGAUGAAGAACAUAUUGAUAUAAAACAAUCGAGUAAUCGAUGUCGAGGUUUCUAUUAUUCAACAAAAAUAUUUUAUAUUUAAAUAUUGUUACGCAAAAUUUGAAAAUUAUGUCAGAUUUGUAAAAGGAAUUAUUAAGUCAGAGGUCACACUUGGACGUACUAUCGUCAUUAAUAACAACGAUUGAUAAUUAUUUGUAACGAAAAUAAUCAAAUAAUCAAGGUAUUCAUAUUCAAAAUUUCCCGCGAUUUUGAUCUGCGUGUUGUUGCGUUGAUGUAACGGGAGUAACUCAGUCAGUUGCUUGUCAUUCGGUCGGUUGGUUGGUCUUUCGUUUUGUCCACAGUUGGUUGAAAAGAACAGCGCCGCGGCGAACAGCGCUUGAACGUUUACGAUUGCAACAAUAAAUCGAACGUAAAAAGAAACAUACGAAUCAAAGAAAUUAACGCCAUAUUCUUCGUUGACGAGUGAACUUGUUGUUCGUCUCGUAAAAAAGAAACAUUUUUUAUCGGUGAAAGAACGCAAUUAUAAGGAAAGGGGGGGGUGUGGUACGUUUCAAUGAUCGUACUACGUUGACCGACAUUAUGCGUAUACGUGAAGUUAGCCAUGCUCCGCUGAAUAUGGUGUUUAACGUAAAUAAGAAAGGAAGAUAGUGCCCCGCCAUGACAUUAGUGCAAAAUUCAAGAGGUCGAAACUGAAAUUAACCAUGCCCAUUUAUAUGUGAUAUUAUAUUAUCGGAAUUGGGUGUAAAUGUUUGUAUCGUGAUGAACACUACUCUAAAAAGUUUAAAAGACUGUGGAUUUUUAUCUUCACAUACAGUUGCAUUAUGUCAUCGUCUAAUCUCAAAAUAUGAGAUUUUGAAAGAACGGUGAAUGAUUUACGAAGCCUAGUCAAAAGGAUCGUAACGCAAAACUAAUCGAAAAAAAUGCCUCUUCCAAAAAGAUUAGUUGAACCCGUUCACGUCGCACGUGGUACGAUACCGGAAGAUUUCCCAUUACCGUCGGAAUUAGAAGCCGUUACUAAUGGUACUUUGGCUAAUACCAUUAGACAACUGUCCAGCCUCUCACGGCAUGCCGAAGAUCUCUUUGCAGAGCUGACCAGGGAAGCUCAUGCGUUAAGCGACAGGGCGAAUUCUUUGCAAGCUAGGAUAGAUCGACUGGCCGUCAAGGUCACUCAACUUGAUAGCAAUGUCGAGGAAGUUUCAUUACAAGAUAUACAUAUGAGGAAAGCAUUCAAGAGUUCGGUCGUUUUCGAUCAACAAGUAGUUUCAAGAGAUACGAUGCCAACGGCAAUGUUAGAAACUUAUCGUCAAUGCGACACACCACCACCUUUAGAUAAACUCAACAUUUAUAGGGAGGAUGGAAAAGAUGGACUGAAGUUUUACACGGAUCCGAAUUAUUUCUUUGAUCUAUGGAGUCAGGAGAUGUUGAAAGAUACGGAAAAGAAAUUGCAUGAUCGAGGGAAAAAGACUGAAACAGAAUAUGCCGAACCAUACAGAAAGCCUCAUAGGCCACGGAAUGAAGGUAGCGGUGGUGGAGGUAGACACAAGAAGCGUGUAAGACAGCCUCAUAAUACAAGGGAAAGGCAGAGACAAUUAGCGGUCGGCCAUGGGGAAUAUAUAAUGCCAACACAAGGGGUUCAAUAUAGAGCACCUCAUAACAUGACCGAUGAAACGAUGAUGGGGAUGGUCGUAACCGAAUCAAGACCACCAAGACCGAACAGUAUUGAACUUAGACGAAGUUAUCCACCAGAGGAGCAACACUUGUAUAGCCCUUCUUCCUCUGAUCAUUACAGGGCAACGAAUUCUGUUUCCCAUGGUUAUGAAGAAAACGUGUACGGUUCUCAUUAUGCUUCUGGUCAAGGCCAACAAGGUAGCGAAACUUAUCAGAGUCCAGGCGGACAAAGUACACCCAGCAGAAGUGGUAGAUCGCGACCUUCUCAACCACCUCCGGCACCACCAAGCAAUACUUCAAGUAAUUCGACUCCCACGGUAGCCUCUGCCAACAAUACUCCUACCAGAGGGAGAUCUAUGAGUACUGGUAGAGAUACGCUUCCACCACCUCCUCCUCCACCAGGAGAAACUAUGUCUCCGCCUUCCAUGAACGGUUCGAUACCGUCUCACUUGUUAAACAGGAAUGGAAGUCGUCCAAACAGUCCUUUACCGAGUCAUCAUUCGACUCCUACUCCACCAAAUCACUCGGCACAAAUUGGUACAGACGAAACAGAUCCCGUCUCUCAAGAUUUACCGCCACCACCUCCAACACCCGAUCCUACACCACCAAGGCCUAUUUCUCCACCGUGUAAUAUCCCUCCUCCUCCUCCACCACCACCACCACCGCCAGCUAUUAAUGGUUCAUCUCCACCGGUACCAUUGACGAACGGAGAUAUUGCCAAAAUGAUAGCCAUGUGUCCGCCGAAAUUAAAACCAUUGAAAAGUAUCGAUGGACAGCUACGAAAGUCUGUCAAUCCGAACAUCCCAUUGGUAGAUCCAAGGAAUGAUUUACUUAAAGCGAUAAGAGACGGGAUAAAAUUGAGAAAAGUAGAAAAAAUCGAGCAGAAGGAAGUAGAACGUGUUAACGCAUUGAACGACGUUGCAUCCAUAUUGGCUCGCCGUGUUGCUGUCGAAUUUAGCGAUAGUGAUUCAGCUUCUGAAAGCGAAUGCGACAGCGAAGGAUGGGGCGAACAAGAAACGAAUCUCGCGUGACCCACCUCUUUUCCAUCUGCCGCCACUGCCUCCUAGAAAAAUGACCGAGGAGCUACCCUUUUAAUUUCUUCUUGAAAUUUCUUUGGGCCAUCUACAUCAGAAUUGUCGAAUCGAUCUUGCACAGUCUAGCCAAACUACAAGAUCAUAAAAUUCUGUUAUUAUAUUAAUAAGAAUGAGAAAGAGUACGUUUUUUGGAUCUACAAAAAAUAAUAAAAAAAAAAGCGAAAAUUGUCAUGUAAUAAUAAAAAGAAAUUGAAGAAGAUAAAUGAUAAAAUAGAAGAUAAUAAUAAAAAGGAAAAGAAGUUAGAAGAAUAUACGCACAUGGAAAAUAUAAGCAUCACUUUUAUAAAGUACUUCUCGAUAUUUGUCAGGGACUUUUAUAAUGUCCUUCUUGGCACAUUCCACAGUACCAAUAAAGUCUAGUUAACAAAUACUUCUUUUCAAUUGGACUGUUUAACGAUGGUAUUAACGAUACAAUUUUCACGUAAUAUAGAUGAAAUAAUAAACUUUGCAUUAUAUAUGAUACUAUAUGCUAUUAAGUAGGACGUACAUGCAUAUAUAUAUAUAUGUGAAAAAGAGAAAAAAAAGCCAAAAUACAGAGUUUAUAUUUUUUUCCUUCGUGUCAUAUAUAAGUCUUGUAAAAUACUAUACUUCGAACUAGUUAUUAUAAUUAGGUAGUAUCUAUAUGAGAUGUCUAACAAUGAUUUGUUACCGCUUCGCCAGAGGAUAAUCGACUCGGAUAAAAGCAGGAUUAUAUGGCGAAUGGACAAUAUAUUAUUUCUUUACGCUCUAUACGUAUAAAAUUAAAAAAAAUAAAAUAAAAAAAUAAAAAAAAAAACGUAUCGUGUGUGCGUCCUACCGCAACGAUAAUGGUACAUCGAGUUUUAACGUUCGGUCGACGGUCUUGCAAAUAAUAAUAAUCUUCCACAUCUGUUGUAAGGGAAAUAGCGUUAGAGACUGUCAUCGGAUUUUUCGCUUGUAUCAAGAGAUAUAUCGAGAAUAUGUAAUGAAAAAAAUGCUCCAUUAUAUGUAAGAUUUAACGAAGUUGUUAUUUAAUAAAAAUGAAAAAGAAACAUUUCCUAGUAUAUAAUGAAAUUAAAUGUAUAAUUAUAUGUAACGACACGAUGAUAUAUAUAUAUAUAUAUAAAUGUAUUAGUUAUAUAUAUAUAUACAUAUAUACACGCACACAUUAUAUAUGUACAUAUAUAUAUAUAACUAAUAUUACGCCGAAUAUGUUAUUAUACACUAACAUUAAGGUUGUUUGAAAGAAGCUAUCUGUAAUUUAUUUUGCAUCGGUGUUAUAACUAAAGUUAGAAAUAAAUAGUGGUUGCAUCAUCACAUAAUCUUACGUGUUCCAGUAGAGAUCUAUCACAAAAUAGAUAGAUAUUUGAUAGAAAUAUUAAUGGAAAGAUAUCAUCCCUCAUCCAGUGGUUUACCCGGCUCUUUAAAUAAGAAUUAUUUAAAAAAUCCGGCCGAUCUUCGCGUAUUGUUAUCGAAACGUGUAAUAACGAAUGAUGCACCUUCUAGACACAUUUUUACAUAUAUCGUAUUAUCGUUUUCAUUAUCUAUUUUUAACAUAAAUGAUUCAUUUUCAAUGAUUCAAAAAUAGCUUGGUGUAUUUGGAUGAUAAUUAUAAUACCCAAUGUAAUAAGAUAAUUACGAUAAAAAGAAAUAUAUAUAUAUAUGAUUAUUGCUUUAGAUAACAAGAGAGACACGUAUGAAAAGAAGUGUACAAAUGCAACACGUAAAUCACACACAUAUAUAUAUAUAUACAUAUACAUAUAUAUAUGUUGUAAUAUGUUGAUAUAUUGCUCAGCAAAAUGAUUUUGUCUUUCUCAGAAGAAAACAAAUAAGAAGAUAGAAUCCUCUUUCUUUGCUUUAAGUAUAUUACGCUUCUAUGAAGCUACACGCGUUAAAUUAUUGUAAAAUUACGAUAUACCAAUGUAAGUUUGCGAUUUCCCAAAAGUGAUAAGUCAUUGUUCUCUCAUUUAGUAAUACGAAUAAUGAAAAAGAUCAGAUUGCUCAAUGGUCCUAUGGAUCAUACUGACUUUGAUCUUCCUUUUGUUUGCAUUAGGAAACCAAAAUAAAAUAUGAUAUCUCUGUGUAAACACACGUUUCUAAUUGAUAAACUUUGUAAAUCUAACGUCUAAUGAGAUUGCUCUAACUACGAACAGAAUCUAUUCGCAACAUUAUUUUCAUACUUUUCAUUUUUCAUAUUGAUAAUGGCUUCGAGACAUAAAUUAUACGAUUAUUCUAACAAAAGUUUAAGUGCCAAUAAUAAUGAUGGCAUCGUGAUAAUCUAUUAUUAUGUUUAAUAAACCGAUUCUUACGCCUGCGAAGUCAUUGCAAUAAUAAGAACUUCUCUUUUUACACGUAAAGAAUAUGGAUCUUACGAAAAUAGAAACGUACUAUUUGAACAAUAAUCGCUAUUAUGAUAUAUAAUUAUAUUAUUAAUAAUUAAAGAUUUGUAGUAAAACUGUACAGAACCAAAUAAAUUCAAAAAUGUCAUCAGCCGUA